rnacentral:misc_RNA from 1 species
CCUGGAAUUAGCAAGCUCCCAAACCCCUGUGAACAUACCGAACGUUUUGCCUCGGCGGGAUCGCCCCGGCCCUGCCGCCGGACGCAUGCGCCCGCCGGCAGGACCCAUACUCUUGUUUCUAUAUGAAGCUUCUGAGUGACAUCAGAGUCCAGAAUAAAGUCA